rnacentral:rRNA from 1 species
UACGUAGGGUGCAAGCGUUGUCCGGAAUUAUUGGGCGUAAAGAGCUCGUAGGCGGUCUGUCGCGUCUGCUGUGAAAACUCGGGGCUUAACCCCGGGCCUGCAGUGGGUACGGGCAGACUAGAGUGCGGUAGGGGAGACUGGAAUUCCUGGUGUAGCGGUGAAAUGCGUAGAUAUCACUUGGAACGCCAAUGGUGAAGACAGCUCGCUGGGGGUGUCCUGACGCUGAGGCGCGAAAGCCAGGGGAGCGAACGGG